UUCCAGAGACCGAUUCGGUUAAUUCGGGAACCGUGAGACAGGUCCUGCAUGUUNGUCGUCAGCUCGUGUCGUGAGAUGUUGGGGUUAAGUCCCGCAAGAGCGCAACCUUGGUCCUUUAGUUGGCCAGACGUAAUGGUGGGAACUCUAAGGAGACCGCGGUGACAAACCGGAGGAAGGUGGGGAUGACGUCAAGUCAUCAUGGCCUUACGACCAGGGCUACACACGUACUACAAUGGUAGGGACAGAGGGCUGAAACCCGCGAGGGUAAGCCAAUCCCAGAAACCCUAUCUCAGUCCGGAUUGGAGUCUGCAACUCGACUCCAUGAAGUCGGAAUCGCUAGUAAUCGCAGAUCAGCAUUUGCUGCGGGUGAAUACGUUC
rnacentral:rRNA from 1 species